GACGUAGGGCGCGAGCGUUGUCCGGAUUUAUUGGGCGUAAAGAGCUCGUAGGCGGCUUGUUGCGUCGACUGUGAAAACCCGCGGCUUAACUGCGGGCUUGCAGUUGAUACGGGCAGGCUAGAGUUCGGUAGGGGAGACUGGAAUUCCUGGUGUAGCGGUGAAAUGCGCAGAUAUCAGGAGGAACACCGAUGGCGAAGGCAGGUCUCUGGGCAUGUCCUGACGCUGAGGAGCGAAAGUGUGGGGAGCGAACAGG
rnacentral:rRNA from 1 species